GUUUGGUCCUAGCCUUAAAGUCAGUUCUUACUUAAUUUACACAUGCAAGUCUCCGCACCCCUGUGAAAACGCCCUUAAUCCCCUAUUGGGAAUAGGAGCCGGUAUCAGGCACAAUUUUUUGCCCAAAACACCUAGCCUCGCCACACCCUCAAGGGACCUCAGCAGUGAUAAACAUUGAGUAUAAGCGAUAGCUUGACUCAGUUAAACUAAUUAGAGCCGGCCAAUCUGGUGCCAGCCGCCGCGGUUACACCAGGAGCUCAAAUUGACUUCAAUCGGCGUAAAGCGUGAUUAAAGAAACUACCUCUAAUGGGAUCAAAUUUAAAUUAAGCCGUGAUACGCUUAUUACCUAAGAAGUUCAUUAACGAAAGUUAUUCCAUUUAUACCUCCUUGAAUUCACGACAACUGAGAAACAAACUGGGAUUAGAUACCCCACUAUGCUCAGUCGUAAACUUUAAAUUACAACCCAUU
rnacentral:rRNA from 1 species